AGGUAAAUCAGGAAGUACAAACAUAGACGACGCGAUGUUCUAUCUCUCCGUCCAUUUGUUAGGGUGCAGCCGCCUCUCUCCUCUUCCUGCACACCUGGCCCGGUGUGACCCGGUCAGGAAACAAGUUGGACGUCUUUUGACGUCACCUCAUUUCAGUUGUCAGAAGUCCACGAACUCCGCUUCCUACGUCAGAGCCACUCCGACCUGGAGACCGUUAUUAUCAUAUAACAAUUGGUCGACCUUGCGUUGUACCAAGACCACCUCAUUUCUUCUGCGGUCUGCUCGUGUCCAAACACGGUGUGGACACUUUCACACCUCGGCCGCCCUCAGUGCUCUGCCUCCUCCUCUUCUGUGGCUAGUGCUGAAACCUCUCCAGAAGCUCAUAGCUAUAAUACUGGGCAGGAGUAUAAGGAAGUGGUGGGCUGCUCUACCUGACAACCGGCGACACCUGGUGCGUGAAUGGGCCUGGCUGCAUCGUUGGCAUCUGACAGCAGGGUUGGCCUUUGCUGUGGUGAUUGCAGCACUCCUUCUUCUGACCCACCUCGACGAGUCUCCAUUGACGGGCCGGAUCCGCCUCCUGGUCUUCAGCAGGGAAAAUUACAUGGAGCUGGCUGCUCUUACUUCAGAGGCAUACAUGGAGGAGUUUGCGGACCUUCUGCUUCCAGUCACUGACCACCGUCACGUGGUGGUAGAACGGGUGGUGCAGCAUCUGGCACAGAGGAACAAGGACAUCUCUGAAGUGUCCGAUGUCGCCUGGAGUGUCCAUGUGGUGCAGAGUCCCAACACCAACGCCUUUGUCCUACCAAAUGGGAAGGUGUUCAUGUUUACGGGGAUGCUGGAUGCUGUGACAGAUGUUCACCAACUCACCGUUGUCCUUGGACAUGAAAUGGCUCAUGCUAUCCUGGGACAUUCAGCAGAACAGGCCAGUCUGUCUCAUGUUGUCGACCUCCUGUCCCUCAUUCUGCUGACAGCCAUUUGGGCUGUGUGCCCUCGAGACAGCAUGGCACUGCUGGGCCAGUGGGCACAGACGAAGCUCACACAGUUUAUGUUUAACCGUCCCUACAGUCGGAAACUGGAGGCAGAGGCUGACAAAAUUGGAUUGCAGUUGGCUGCAAAGGCCUGUGCAGAUGUGAGGGCAGGACCUGUGUUCUGGCGGCAAAUGGAAAUCAGAGAGCAGCUGACUGGGCAGCCCUCUCUUCCUGAGUGGUUGUCCACACAUCCUUCCCACAGGAACAGAUUCACACAGAUGGACAGCCUUAUUCCAGAGGCUCUGGUCUUGAGGGAACGCUGCGUCUGCCCUGCUCUGCCUGCCUCUGACCCCCGAGUCAUCUUCUCCAGGAGCGUCCAGGUGUUACUGGAAAAAGCUCAAGGUCAGGGCCGAGGGGGGGCAGACGGUGCGGUCACAAGCCACGUGCCCCCCAGCACAGCCUCACUUCCCUCUGCCCCACCUGCAGCGCUUCUUCCUCAAACUGCGCUUCUUCCUGCUCCAAAUCUGGAUCAAGUCUUAGAUUCAAGCACAGGUGUAGCGCCACCAGUCUCUGCUCCUACAGGGGGCGUUGUACCGCAGGCCAUGGACACCAGAUAGAAGGUUAUAUCUCCACACACCUUUGCAGGUUUUUACUGAACUGGACUGGAAGAAGACAUCAGUAUAGUUGGUGUGAUGAAUCCUCAGCCAGUGAUUUUCUUUUACAUUUUCACAGAAUUUUUUUUUUUUUUAAUUUUUAAAAAACUAGUGUGGGUGCGUUGGACGAUGUGUUCGUUAAAAACUGGAGAAAAUCCGUCUCUCUUCUGAACCUUUCCUUGUCAAUAUGCUGCUGACUGAACUAGUUACUAUACUGGAGCCACAUUAAUUAGAUAACCUGAACAGGGAAAUGUUGAAUUAAUUAGGACAGCGUCCAUACAUUAGAAGAUUAAUAUGUGCAUUAUUCAUCAACACACUGCAAUGUGAUGAGAGUAAGCACUUUGUGCGUGCAUGUUAGAGGACGUGUCCAUGGAAGCCAGAGGCGUUCUCAUUAUGACGACUACAUUUCCAUGCUUCACACACACACACACACACACACAGCACUUUAUGCACACUCUGUCCAGAGGGGUUUUAAUGGUGCAAAUUUAUGCUGGGGUCGUUUGCAGGUUUUGAAAUGUAGCUUUUCUUGGGAUUUUUGUAAAAUCUUGUCUAACGAGGAAAGUUCAGUGAUAAAACAUUGCUGCAGAUAGAUUUACAGCAGGAGUCCCACAGUGAAGAAGGCAGGUACUGUUCACACUUCAAACAUCUAAACAAAAUCAUUCUUCUCACUGAUUGUAUUUUAAAAUAAAUGGUUGUGGUUUGGUUUUAUUUUCUUCAGAAAUGCCAUCCAGUUUCGACUUGCAAAACAUCCAGGAUCUUUUAGCUGCGGUGGAAGCUGUAUUUGAACGUAAGCAGGAGAGGUUAAGCUGCGUUGCUACAUUCAUGCUGAACCAUCUGAAUGCAGCUCCAUCACCACUAGCAGAGAAAUUGGAACUGGAGCAGCAAACAGAUGACACAUACACCCAGAGAUAUUCUACGGCCUACACAGGAGACAUCAGACGGCCCCCGAGACUUCCGGCAAUCUGCUUGCAGGUCCAGGUCUUGGGCUGGAGCCUGGAGUCAUUUGUCCCAGGCUGAUGAACUGAUGAUGAGCUGAUUUCUCUAAGUGACAUCUUCACCCUCAUUACCAUAAUGGAGUGGUCUCUUUCAACACGCUCGCCGCUCCAGGAAUCUCUCAUUUGUCUGACAUAUUGGCAACACGGAAAAGAUCCAUCAUCUUCUGUUCCUCUCCAUCUGUAGAUGUUUUUGCUCUUCCCCUACGUCUCCUUGACUGAAUCACACGACCACUUACUCACCGGUUCCCUGAGAAAUGACCUUCCUUGUUUACACACACACCUGUUCCUACUCUCCAUUAGCCUUGUUACCCCACUGUGCAGCUGUGACCCAAUUCAUGGACCGCAGCAGUAAAUGGGGACUGCACUGAGACGGCCUGAGCCCACCACAACUCACACCACUGUUUAACGGUCUAGCUGUGGAUACGUACGGACAUCACUUCUCCAGCUACACCUGCUGUUAUUACUCUCCUCUCCUAACUGGAUUCCAGGGCAGGGAUGCAACCGUUUGGUGUCUCCAAGACAAACACACUUGGAAAACAAAAAACAAUAUUGGCCCAGUUUUGUUUUUAUGUCAAAUUAUCUUUACUUUCCAGAUGAAAUUUCCAGUGUUUCACAGCCAGGCUGUUUUGUUUUCAUGGAGGUCCGCUGCUUUAGAUUCCGUUUCUCUUGUGAAGCUUAUGUGUAACAUACUUCUGUUUUGAAGCCACUCGCCUCUUGGUUAAGAAACCUCCAGCUCCAGUUGGCAUUUAUCAGGUUUCCAGUGAAAUUUGGCCUUAGAGGAGCUGGAAAGGUCUAGUUUGAAUAGUUUAUUAAAUUAUUAGCUGGACAAAGAAGUCUUCAUCAGGCUACUACCAUCCAAACCGCAUACAAAGUAGUUGUUGAACCGUAAAUGUAUUCAACAAUAUAUUCCAAAAUAAUAUUUAUAGUUUUUUUUGUAGGGGGGAAAUAUUUCAAAACUCUUGGGAGAAGUGAAAAAAUCUUGGAUAAUCUAUGCUUUAUUGCCAGUGUGUUGGUGACCAGAGAGCAAAUAUGUGAGUUCACGGGAGUCCAAAUCAAACACUAAUAUAUUCAAAAGAGUGUACCAAUUACUUUUUUAUGAUUAUCUCUGACCUGGAGGUGGAUGUGAAGAAUGACAAUUGGUUUUGCCCCAUGUCAUGAAUAUGAUUUUGCAGUAUGUGUGUGUGUGUGUGUGUUUACAUGUGUGUAUGUGUGCUCUGAUUGAAAUGCUGCAGCAGCAUGAUGAUGAUGAUGAAGAAGAUGAUGAUGAAGAUGAUGGCAGUGUGCUGUACUCCUCUCCUAUCAGUUAAUGAACUGUAGCCACUGUGAUUCCACUGACGGCACCAUAACUAAUAAAUGAAUGAUAUAAUGGUCUAUAAGCAGCCAUUGUACCUGCUCCUCUGCUGCUACGGCUAAUCCUCCUCCUCUUUGUUUUGAUAUAAUUUAAAUUUCUUAAUGGGAAUUUAAUUGUUGCCACACGUAUCUGUAAAUCUGAGGAAAGUGCUGAUUACCAGGGGCUUAAUGAUACCUGUUUGUAGAAGGAUGAUGAAGCUCCCAACAAACAUGUUGCAUGGAUUCAUUAUGCUGUGUAACCUCAGCCUGUCUAAUGGUUGUUUAUGCAACGGCUAAUUUAGAUGCAGUUUAGUCUUAGAAAUUAACUGGAGCUCCACAGACAUGGAGUUGAAUCUCUCAUCGUUUCUCUGCUCCUUGUGAACCAGAGGUUUGACACAAGGUUGUAGGGAGGGGGCAGAAAAGUGUUUUUGCCUCUGAAUGUGUGAUGCAACACGUCCAUUUCUUAGACAUCAAUGAUCAAUCAGUGGUUUGACUCCAUUUCCCAAAGAGAAGAAUUAAAGUGGCGUCGGUGCAGGCACCCAGAAACCUUUUUUAAUCAGACACCUGUGGCUGUAAUGUCUUAGAAAACUCACAGCCAGUGUGUCUCCAUUCUACAUCCUGAUGAUCUUGUUUCUUGGGAGACAUUUGAUGCUUUUUAACACUUGCACAAUGUGCCCAUCUUGUAGACCCUCUCUGUUCCUAGCCUGUUAUUUAUCAGGUCUUUUGAGAGUGUGUCUCUCUCGAAGUUGCCCUGUUUUUUUUAUUUUUCUUUAAAUAAGAGAACCAGAGGUGAAGGAAGGGUUAAUGUUCUGUAGAAAUAUAAAGUAAAUGUAAAAGUCAAAGUCAACCAUUGUACUUGACAGCUCAGUCAUUAAGUUAACCACACACCCUUCUUUAUCAUUAGCAGUAAUGUUGCAGCAGUCAUCAGCUACUGUGUGUUUGUAGAGAAUAAAAUAAUGAUGUUCCCAUGUGGAAACUACUGAGAGUAGAUAUUUUUCUGAAAACUUUGAAGUAAAUUCAAAAGAUUAUUUAACAUUAGCCGUUGACAUUAGCCAAAAUGCACUCAACUGCCACAAUGCCUCUCUCAAGGGAGAGCUGUGAUUGGCUGAGACCUGUGCCAGAUUUAUGACAAAUCAGACACCACCAUUUUCAAACACCCACGACUUGUCUAGGUAUUUUAAAUUGACCUAAAAUUGCAACAUUGAAUAAAUGUUUUCUCUUAAAGUUACUGCUCCUUUUCAGACUUGAUUAGUUUGCACCAAUUGGAUGAAGUCUGGUGUCGAUUGAUCUGCUCAGAUUUAGUCUGAACUCAGUGUUGAUCGACUGAUGCUGCAAUUAACUGCAAUUAUAUAUGUGCAUAUGUAUAUGUGUGUGUGUAUAAAACACAGAACUCCCCCUCACCUGUUUAUCCCCUCACUUCAGCCUCCCUUCAUUCUUUUGCUUGUCGCUCAGCAACCACAGGUAAUUAAUAAGCCUUUACAGUUCCAUCUGAUCUGCCUCAGGAUUUGACACAGCUGAUAAGUUAAAUGGAAUACACAUGGGCUUGCCUCUCUGUCGCUCUCUCUCUCUCUCUCUCUCUCUCUCUCUCUCUGCUCAGCACAGCCUGGGAAUAUAAUUACUUGAGAAUAAAUACGCAUGAGCUCACACACGAAUACACCCUUAUAACAGAGAGUGACUUAGCCAAGGUUAACACCGAUGUUUUUCCUCUUCUGUGCUCUAAUCAGAAAUGUACUGAUGAGUUAUUUGUCUGGAAGUUAGAUGCACUGAGCACUUGUCGUCAUUAUUCAGAGACUCAGAAAGCGGGAUAAUUAAAUCUAUUUAAUCGUGUGCCUUAGUGGGUGAAUGUGUGCAUGUUAAUAUCAUGCUCUGAUGCUUUUAAUGGCUCCGCCACAGAGCAGGAUCGUACUUAUAAAUGCCACUUAGACGGCCUGUGCUUAAAAGUAAUCCAUCUCCUCCGCCCACUGACAGUUGCCACACUUGCUUAUCAAUCUGCCCCAUGGCCACACUCACCAGCUGUCAAUAGGCUGCUGAAGUGGCUCUUCAUAACGCCAUCUCCAGGAAGAAGAUGGAAACUGUCAGGGAAUAUCAGCGGUCGUGACGUCACUAAUGUCUGCUGUAUGAACGUGCUGAAACCUCAGAACUGAUCUCUGUCCAGUAUCUGAAUGUGUUUAUGGAUCUGGAGUAUUGAACAUGCGGGAACAUAAUCCCAUUCUACACAUGCACUCACUCAGUGCUAAGAGCAGCACAGUCAGGUUUAUUGCUUGCCGUGGCCAUAGCAACAGCCAUGAGCCGGGAAAGAGAUGACUUUUUUUUUUUUAGUGGUGAUUCAGUGAACGUCCUUGUUCUGAUGAGAGAGGAGAGCUGGGGAUGAAGACAGUCAUGGAUGGAGAGGAAGGGGGAGGAGGUGGAGGAGGAGGAGGAGGAGUGAAGAAGCUGUUUCCUCUGCACACAGGCGUAGUUUGUGACAGACAAUUCAGGAGUUUGUCCUUUUCUUUAGCUGAGACUAACCUCAGUCCACAUCAGAGCAUUGUGAUGUGUUGGUAUAUAUGACGUUAGCUGAUUGAGGACAGUAGAUCGUCUGAUUUCGCUGUUGAACCUUUUCUUUCCUUAGUAAACUAAAACACCUGUCAGUCAGAUGUCCACAUGAACACGUGGUUUUAGCCAAUCCUAGACAGGGCUGACUGAGGCUGUCUGUGAUGAGGCGUUUGCUGCAUCAUGUGUCCUUCAUCAUGUGUAAUGCGUCAUCACACCUGUAACAUAGUCUAGAGUUAGAUUUUUCGAUUUCUCAUAACGAAAGUGUAGUCAACCAUUUUCUCUUAUGUUUUUCCAUUAGUUGAAAAACUCUCUUACCUUGGAGCAGUGGAGGAAAUCUUGGAUUAACACACGCUGUACUACAGAGUGUCUCAUAAUCAGACAAACCUUGAUGUGUGUGGACAGUGAGCUGCCGUCUUUCUCACGAGUGUCACUCGAUGACAGUGGUCUCCUGUUCCAGCUGUUUGAAGGCUGCGUCUUUUAAACUGUAAAUGGAGGAGACUGGACAGUGACAGUCAACCGUUCAUGUAAACCAGGAAUGAGCACACGCACAGUAACAUUACAUAACUUCAGGUGGCAAAAUGUUACCGUACACUACAGCUAUUGUCAAAAAUACUUUCAUUAUAACGUGGACGUGCAUGUUUUACACUUGUUGACUGUUUUCCAGCUACAUUCUGUUCUAGAGUAUAUCCAGCCUGUUUGGUCUGACAACAAAUUUGAACCUUUGAAUACUUGAAAUACAAUGUAUUUGUCAUUGUUGUUUUUGUAGUUUGUUACAGGCACAAACCUUAAAUCACCACUUUGUCCUUCUGUCUUGGCUAAAGCACUUUGACCAAAUACGACUUGGAUUUUGAUUGGAGUGUUCAAUGCAUUCACUUUUAGUGAAGUUUGUUUUUCAUUUGAUACAGUGAUCACGGAGAACAGCUAGACCAAACAAAUGUCAUGUGUCGAUCAUUUCUGAACAUCAUAUUUGCACUGUAAUGGAAUUGUGAAGGAAUGUGAUGGAGAACGUUUCUUCUCAGAGGUAGACGAGAUAAGGAGGAGCAGGAAAGUCCACCAUGAGAGUGCUGUUUUCUUGAAGUUACUAAGGAUUCUGCUGUUUUUCUGUGAUGUGCUAACUCUGAGUGAGUGAGUGUGAGGCAGAGCGGAAGGAGAGAGGCAGACGGGGAGGGGGACUGGGCUGCUGAGUCAAAGCUCCGCUGCGGUGUGUUUGAGCUAGCGACCCUUAGAGCUAUCUGGUUGUAUGCAUGCCUCCAGCUCACUGUGCUGCACACUGUAGCCACUUAGCUCCUUAGCCUCCCUCCACCACUUCUACACAACUGUCAGCCGGCAGCUCCAGUGUGCUGUAGCUGCAGUGAGGCUCUGCCGUCUCUGAGUGUCUCUGUUUGCAGCUGAGGAUUUUUGCCCUUGCAAGGAUACUCUGCCUUUCUGGCAAAGCAGAGGGGUGGAAAAAAAAGAGGGAGAGACUCAAGAGGUAAGAGAAGACGGGGCAGAGUGACAGCGGGCCAGCAGUGACCUUCGAGGUGUGGGGAAGAAGAGGAGGAGGAACCAGGGACAGAGGGAGAUCCAUCAGGUGUGUGUCAGCUCUUUACUGGAUGAGUAAGUUUACCGGUGCCGGUGACUCUGCAUGGACCGGCUUGUCUGAUCCUUUAAGAUGAAGUUAAAUAGUUGUGGAUGGAGACACAUUGACACCAAAGUAUGAAAAGGUCUGGUUACAGUUGGAAGUGUAGAGCUGUUGGGAAAUAACACUGACAUGAAUAAAGAUCACUGUACAGGGAUGAUGUAGAGGAGAUGACGGUCUGUGACUGGAGCUCAUUAAGGAUGUCAUGUCAUGUCUGUGUGUUUUUGUCCUCUGGGUUUUGACCUGGGCAGCAGAGUGAAAACGUUCUGUGUCCCAGACUGUAUACAGCACCACUGUGUUCCCCAGGUGUCUGUGUGUGGUUGGAUAUACAGUGUUAUUACAGUAGCAGCUAUGGUGACCUGGUGUCCUCAUUAUUGUUUGUGUUUAAGGAAGCUGCCCUUCAGGUCACCUGUACUUACAGCCCAUAAUUGCACGGUGGCAAAAACAACUACACCUCUAUUUAUUAUUGAAGAAUGAACCCAGUCUGGUCCCCUCCUGGAUUCAUUAUGCAUUUAUUUUUUAUUCUAACUAAAAAUCUUGGUAGUGAAAUCAGUCAUCAGAUUACAGUCCAUUUAAUUUUAAUCAGAUUGUGUUUUAAUAUCACACUCAUUCAUAUGUGUGGUGUCUACAGUCUGUGUACAGUUUGGUUUGUACUACUGGAUGUCAUGAACAGUUUUACUAACUAAUGUUUUAGAUCUUUUUGCUUCUCCCUCUGGUGCCACUGACUCUGUGUGCAUGUCCAGUAAUGCAGGGGGACAGAUAUCCAGUGAAAGAUCGGUGGAAAUGUCAAAAACACAAAGUGCAAGUCACUGUGUUACAGCCAGUGAGAGAUGAGCUGCACUAAACACUGUAUCUCUCUCUGUGUGUGUGUGUGUAGUGGGGAUGGACUCUCAGUUGGUUCACUCUAUCAUCACAGUUGACUGAGGUAACAACCAGACGUGGACCACUCCGAAUAAUCCAUAGACUCUGUGACUCAGCAGCAGACAAAUACGUAGCACCUCGGUAGAUUUUUGAAAAAACAAAAUGCUAGUCUGACCUCAGUGUUGCUGCUGCAGACUGAAUACUCAAUGUGAUAUCAGUACUGGCACUGAGAAAAUGUUUGCUGCAGUAGAGUAUAAAAAGAAAAUCAUAUUUUUAACAAAUGUUUUUGCUGUUGUUUUCACAUUUCUAAAACAUUGUCACCUGUUGUUUCUGUGCACACGUCAGCUCACUGUAGCAGAUAGACAGUCUGUCCUCCAGUCUGUCCUCAAGGCUGGGGAGGUCGGACCUGGUUGGAGCCAGAUAUUUCAAUUGCCUCAUCUGUUACUGCCUUCAAAGUUGGAAAAUAUUUAAGUUUCUUUUACAAACUUUGGAAUAAAUGAUAUUUGCAGGCUAACCUUUAAUCAAAUUACUGAUAAAAAUAUAAAUGAAUGUUGUUUUUUAAACAUUUUUGGACAACGUUGAGACAACAUUUUUAACCAGACUUGAAUGGAAACCUGUUAAAAUGAUAAAACGAUUGGUUUCAUUUAGUUCAAUCAGAUUAUUUGGUUGAGUUUAAAGAAACAGAACGUCAGUUUAGUCACUAGAAAAGGCCGAUGCACCACAAUACUACAAAAAAGAAAUUAUCUGACUUUUUUUUUAAAUUUGAUGUUGAUGUUGGACUUUUUUGUAAGCAGCAGCUUCAUGGUCAAGUUAAAGACAGUGUUUUGGAUGAGUUCACAGUCUUUGCUAAGGUAAACGACAGAAUGCUAUGAUGUUGUUAUAAGAUAUUUUUUGUUUCCGUCUUGAUGUUGCUCAUGUUUUUUUUUUGACAUACUGAAUAGUAACGAGCGGAGGUAUUACAUACACACUCAUUUUUCCCAUUACAUUGUCCAUGUGAAUCCUGUAACUAAAGACUGCAUCAUGAACAGUGUCCUUUUGUGUCCUCUAAGAGACCUGGGACAUAGUAAAUGAGGGACGGAGGGACUGUAACCAGAGGCCGACGUCCCCUCAUCUCUCCCCCUCUCUGCGGAGCUGCUUGGUGAUAUCAUGGCUGUAAUGAAGGCUCAUUUAUCUUCAUCUUGGCACAGUCUCAUCAUUCACAGUGGGACUGCUGGGUUGGUGGAGCGGGGCUCAGUAUGUGUAUUGUGUGGUGGACGUUCUAACAUGAGUACCAGAUUGACGGAGCAAUCAGUGAUGCAGACACUGACCCUUUGAAGCACCUGUUGAGCUCACUGUCGUGGCAAAUGAAUAGUUUCACAUUUGCUUUGGGAAAGGCCAGACUUUGUUUGGUCUGGACUGGGAGGACAACCUCUGAGCACAGGCUUAGAUCGAUAAACAGGUCCCAAUCAGAGGUCAGGUUGAGGAAGCGUUUGAGCCGUAAGCACACGUCACGACCGAUGAGCGAGGAGGGAACGUGUGAAAGGGUAGAGGCCGGACUUUGAGACAAACACACGUGAGGACACAUGUGGUCAAAGGCUAAGUAAUGCCAUCAUUGGCCCAAUGUCCUCAACUUUGAUUAAGAGGCUCUCUAAACACGGCCACACUCAGCACUGUGAUAGGCCAAGGUCACGGUGAAUCACAGCUCAACCCUGCAGAUUGCUGCUUAACUCUGUCAGGAAAAGGCAGAAUCUAAUUUGGCCGAGGGGCUUCCUUAGCACUUCACAUGAAGAGGACAAUUUACCUCGCCCUAGAGCUCUCCAAUGAAACGUGUGUGUGUGUGAGAGAGAGAGAGUAAAUGUCUGUUGGCCUGCAGCCUGGUGGGAUGAGUGUCUGUGUGCAUGUAUUUCAAUGGGUGUGUCUGUCUAAAUGGUUUUUUGCCCUUUGCUUCCUCUCUAUUUCCCCUUUCAGUGUGUGUGUAUGUGUGUGCGUGCCACGCAACUUGUCAGUAUGUAGUAAGUGUAGUGUAAUGUACUGUUUGUGAUUGGCAAGCCAUUGUAUUAGUUUGGGAAUAAUAAGAGUGUAAUAACUCAGUGACAUUUCCCUCCACAGUGACUCCCAGGUAAUCACAUUUACACAACGCAAUCACCGCCUCGCACGCCAGCGUCAGGACGGGACCACGCUCGUUUUCAUUUCCUCUCCAACUCUGCUUAUUUGCGCAUGUAGUAUGAGGCACUGUUGUUGCUGUUUGGAUGACGGUGCAUACUGUGUGACCCCCCCCCCUCCUCUCACCCCCCGACCAGUGCAGUAUUUCUCUGAAUUAGUGAUUGUUCAAAACAAACCUAACUGUUUUGUCUCUGUCUCAAUACCGUCGGAUGGUGGGAAGAUGAUUCAACUCCACAGUCAAUACAUUUGAUUUUCAUAAUUAUACUCCACAGUGGGAAGAAAUGGGGCAUAUUAGAAAAUGUCACAGGUUGUUGAAUCCUUGACGUCACCAUUUGAAUUCUAACAUAGGGAAAACAGUUUUAAUAUACCAUUAUA